rnacentral:tRNA from 1 species
GAAAUGGUGGUCCAGGGAUAGAAUUCUCACCUUCUAUGUGGGAGACCCAGGUUCAAUGUUCCUGGCCAAUGCA